rnacentral:rRNA from 1 species
CAAGUGGGAGUACUCCUUCUAAGCUAAAUAUCACCACGAGACCGAUAGCGAACAAGUACCGUGAGGGAAAGUUGAAAAGCACUCUGAAUAGAGAGUCAAAAAGUACGUGAAACUGCCUAGGGCUCAAGCCCGUUGAACUCGAUUAUCCGAGCGGAGACAUUCACCUGCGGUCGGCCGGUCGCGGCCCGCCGCAGGGCACUUGUCUCUCGCGUCCCCAGAAGGACAUUGCGAUCCAUUACGAAACAGCUUUCGCGGUCCGCAAGGACCGCAAGGUCGCCCGACAGUUGCCCCUUGGUGCCGGUUGCUUGCCCCACAGUAGCGACGCUCAGUUCUGAAGGCCUGUGCCGCGAGCUGGGGCUUACCGCACGUGGUGUUUGCAGUCGGGCGCGUGAUGGAUUCCCGCGUACACCGUCGGCCUUCCCGCAACGGGCCGGCGGACUGUCGAUCGGCAAUGAUAAAAUCGAGGUACCUCCGGGACCCGUCUUGAAACACGGACAAGAAAAUUCAC